GCAGAAGGGGCGCACAGGUGAGUCCGCGCGCACAGGCAGGCGGGAGCGCGCUGACGGAGACGCGCUUCAGCGCUACAAUUGAGGACGAGCCGAACAGAGACAUGAGCUGAGAUCCGAACAACAGAACCGAAUCAGAUUGAGAGCAGCUGAGCGGAAGAUCCAGCUGACUGAUUCAAGUUUACCUAGUGAACACUGACAAAGCUCCAUGCCUCCAUGAAUAAAUGACAUCUGGAAGACCCCUCCUCUUCAUUUCCACUAAUUAGACGUCUCUGUUCUCAGCUUUCUUUGGCAUCCCAUUGACCACGAUGAACGCCAGUAAAGUGAGCGUUUGCUACGACAACGAGAGUGUCAAGUUCUUCUACGAAAAAAGCAACAAGACCAUUAGCGACUUAUGGAGGACGAAAGACAUUGUAGUUGUGUCUCUGGGACUGAUUGUCUGUUGCUUUGUGAUCUUCGCCAACAUCUUGGUGAUGAUGGCCAUCUUCCUCAACCGCAGGUUUCAUUACCCCAUUUAUUACCUGCUGGGGAACCUGGCGGCUGCUGAUCUGUUUGCUGGAAUCUCCUACAUGUACCUGAUGUUCCACACCGGCCCGUGGACCAUCAAACUCUCCAUAUAUCAGUGGUUUUUCCGGCAGGGUUUAAUAGACACCAGUCUAACAGCGUCAGUCAUUAAUCUGAUGGCCAUCGCUCUGGAAAGACACCAGACCAUCUUCACCAUGCAGCUCCACAGUAAAAUGACCAAUCACAGAGUUGUGCUGCUUAUCAUCGGCAUCUGGGUCAUCGCCGUAGUGAUGGGCUUGGUGCCUACUAUGGGAUGGAACUGUCUGUGUAACAUCAAGGAGUGUUCGACGAUGGCGCCGCUGUACAGCCGCAGUUACCUGGUGUUCUGGGCGGUGCUCAAUCUGCUGAUGUUCACCGUCAUGGUCGCCGUCUACUCUCGGAUCUUCGUGUACGUUCGCCGCAAGAACCAUCGGAUGAGUCAGCACACAUCGCAAAACAAGUACCGCGAGACGGUGGUGAAUCUGAUGAAGACUGUCGUAAUGAUACUGGGUUGUUUUGUGGUCUGUUGGACGCCUGGCCUGGUUCUUCUUCUCCUUGAUGGUUCUUGUAAAAAAUGUGAUGUUCUGACCUAUGAGAAGUACUUUCUGGUGCUGGCCGAGUGCAACUCCUUCAUGAAUCCCAUCAUCUACUCCUAUCGGGACCAAGACAUGCGCAACACCUUCAAACGCAUCCUCUGCAUCGCAUGUCGGCCUAAGCACCAGAAGGGCGAGCACUCGGGCGUCCGCUUCAACACCCUUGAGCAAGAGGUAUUCUCAGAGAGCGACGGAACCCACAGUCACCAUGACAACAAUCACCACGGCAGUCUCAAACCUGGCCUCAAGCGCCCCCUUUAGUCCUGGAUGAAUUAGUAUCCGAGAGUUUCUCCGGCAGCGCAAACUAAUUUAAACCCCAAAAUCUUGACAGUCACGUAUUUACGCCCAAACAUCACGCAAGAACUCAUUCAGAUAGUCAUGUAUAUCAUAGAGGAAAGGGGUUAUUGGAAUAUGUAAAAAUUGUCGUGAUUUAGCUUUUUGAACAUUUUGCAAAGUGUUUGCUACAUUUUUUUAUUUUAAAUACUUUCUUUUUCAGAGCAUGUUAGCUUCAAACAAGCUUUUGCUUCAGAAGUUCUUACUAAUAUUUACCACCAACACCUAAAUCGGCCAUCGCAACGAGAAAUAAAGUGAACUAACCUAAACUACCUUGUGUAUGAAUCUAGAAAUGUAAUCACAAUCUCAGCUACUAACAACUAACUAAAGCCACGUCCAUGUUAAUGUUUUCGGUUUAAAAUACCGUUUUCCGUUUCCUAAUGUCAUCUUUUUUUAGUAUGCUUUAAUAGAGCGUUUUCAAAAGUCUGUUUUCACUGACGGAAAACACUGUUCUUGUGUGGAUAAGAGGUGUAAAUAUAUAAAAUCGAUGUGAUUUCAAACAAAAACAUAUGAUUAUAAUACCUAUAAUACUCUGUUUUCCAUAUCCUAAAGCCAUCGUUUCCAGUGGAAGAAAAACACCAGUGUGGAUAUGAGGCAUAAAAGUAGCGAUAUCGAUGCAUAAACGAACAUAUUACGAUUAUAAUACGAUUUUGUUUGAAAACUCAGCUUUCAGUUUCUUAUCGUUUUCGCUGAAGGAAAACGCCAUUCCAGUGUGGAUUAGAGGUGUAAACAUGGUGAAAUCGAUGUGUUUUCAAACGAAAUGCAUUAUAAUAUGUCUAAUAUGUUUUCGGUUGUAAACUCCCGUUUUCCGUUUCCUAAAGUCAUCGUUUUCCAAGUAUGUGUUACCAGAGAGCAUUUUUAAAAGUCCCCAUUUUCAGUCGAGAAUAGCGGCGUGCUAGAGGUGUAAUCGCAGCUAAAUCAAUGCACUUUUACAUGAAAACUUUUUAUUGUGGACGUGGCCGAAAUAAAUCUUGCAUGCCUGCUGAACUAUUAAUACGCUGAGGAAACCGUUAUAAAGCAGUCGCAAAACAAUCCGUCUCCGUUGCACCUGGUUAACUGAUGUUAAUAGAGGUUUUAUCAGUUGUUCAAUCCGGGUACUUUCAUUGACCACUGUAUACUUGAUACUGUAUGUGUGUUUAAUUUGUGUUGCCUUUUUUUGUUUUCUUCACCAGUGUGUUUCUAAUUGUUCUUUUGUUUUUAUUUUCUCUGUGCUCAGCGGAGACGGCGUGUGCUGCAGGACUCAUGGGUCGUAUGUAAAUUUAGUUGCAUUUAAAUCCUCGCGACUGAAAUCAUUUCAAUCAAUAAUCACUCUGAUCUUUAACAUUUUAACCCGAUCAACUCACUGAAGAUUCUGUUUCCUGUUUCCUGUCACCUCAGACGCUCACUAACCUUUGUGAUAACACUUGCUGAGCGGUGUGCAGACUGGUGAUGUUUAUAUGAUACACAGGAUUAUAUUGCAUUAACAGCGACUGCAGUGUUGAGUGUCUACAUGUGAAUCUUUCAUCUCCAGCUCAUAUUUCACAUCAAAAUCAAAAGAAAGAAAAAAGAAAUUGAUUUGUAUAAGUAAAAGACUAUUUUUUGGACUAUUAAUAUUUUUGGCAUUGUGACAUUAUUUUAAUGAGUUAAGCACAUUUAGCAUUUCUCUUUAGUGUAAUUCAUUAAAGAAACAACAUUAUUAUUAUUAGAACCACUUCAAUAUACUUUUUAGCAUUUACAUUUUAAUGUCAUUUGUAUUGAAAAUGUAGUAUAAUAUCGUCCCGUCAUGACACUUUUUUUAUUUUUUAAAUAAACUUCAGCAUAAAUUACAUUCAGUACACUUAAAAUUAUACUUAAAUGUAUGAUUUAUUUUAAGUUCAGUAAUGACAAUUUGGGAGCGAAAUGUGUUUCAUGAAAAUUAUAAUGUGACUUUGUAAAAAAUAUUAAAAUAGGCUUCAUUAAAAAAUAGGCUUCAUUUUCUUUAUACAAAAUAAUAAUAAUAAUAAUUAUUAUUUUGUUGUUGUUGUUGAAACAUGAGCUGAACAUUUUUCUGAGUUUGUUGUCAUCUCCAGGUCUUAUUUUUACCCAAAAAUCAAAGGAAAUUAAAAAUGUUGAUUUAGGAUUAAAGAAAAAGUCUAUUUUUAGGACCAUUUAAGAUUUAUUUAAUUUAUUUUUAUGAUUAAGCAUAUUUCCCCCCAGUUAAUCAUUACUGUAAUGUAAAAACUGUUUUAAAGGAAAGUAAUUAUGCAUCAUUGUAGCAUUUCAUGUAUUGCCUUUAAUGCUAAUUGAAUCAUUUGUCAUUUGAACAGUCAGUCAAUUUUCUUGAAAUUUUUUUUUUUAAUGCUAUAAAUUAUAAAGUAUAACAUGGAUGCAUUAUAAUAAAGAUAAUUGUGGGGUAAAGUUGCUUAAUUUUCAUGAAUAUAUCACAGUGCAAAAAAAUCUGAAUGGUCCUAAAAGUAUAUUUAUUUUACAUACAUUAUAAAAGCAUAUUUUUCUUAUCUUUAUAAAAGAAAUAUAAUUUCUUAUGUUUCUUUUAUUUAGAGGUGACUGUAACAUACUGCAGUGUCAUUGAGUUGAGUGAUACUAAACCACCAGAUCGCGUGUGUAUGUAUAACAUCUGUGUUAUGUUGAGGUACUUUACAGUCGAACAGAUGUACAGUGUUCAGUGUGUGCGUGCGUGUGUGUGCGUGCGCGUGCAUGCUAAUCGUAAAUAUUUGAACAUUUGUCUGCACGGCUGGAACGGAAACGGCUUGGUGUUGCACACGAACAGGCAAAACCACUUCCAUACCCACAUAACACAACACACACACACACACACACUCGCAUAACAUAACACACACACACACAACACAACACUCACACACACACAACACUCACAUAACAUAACACACACUCGCACAACACUCACACACAACACAUACUCACACACGCACACACUCUCUCUCUCUCUCACACACUCACACACACACAACACAACAGUCAGACACACUCUCACACAAACAUACACACGUUUAUUAUCACGCUCAGGUGGUUUUCAUUCAGGUCCUCUAGUGGUGCUUCAGUGUAACUGCAGUUCAAACAAGAUUAAAAUAGAUUCUUUUUUUUAAAGAAGGUUUUUAAAAAAGCUUGAGUUAUUACGUUUUUAGCAGUAUUUUGUUUUAUGGAUUUUAUUUCUUUGUGAUUUUGUAAUAUUGUUUUAAAUGCCAGUAAGAGGUCAAGUGGACGUCACUCCGAGCGCUGUUUAGAAGCUCACUCAUACAUUUCAUAUUUCAACCCAAAAACAAAGGAAAAAACGCUUAUUAAAUAUAGAAUAUGAUUUGCAAAAUCUGUAAAAUUUGUUGAAAUAUGAUCUGAACAUUUGCCAGUGAGAUUCACCUAAACUAACGUUUAUUAUCAUCUCCUGGAGAGAGAGAGAGAACGAGAGACUAUAUGCAGAUAUUUUGGGAUAACAUGUUUGUUUACAGCUGGUUUUGGUCAGAGUUAGAUGUGCUCAGGCUCCGUGCCUUGUUCUAAUUGGCUGAAAGGCCAAAGUGUUUGUGUGGGACCAUGUUUUUGUGCAUUCUCUUUCACUGUGCCUCCAUCUCCUGAAUAUUCACAAAAGUGUCUUAAUAUUUUAAUGCGUAAAUGAUUUUAAGGCUUUUAAUUGUUCACAAAUAAACAAGCUUCAACAAGCAGCUUCUCUCUGUCUGCUCACUGUGUCCUACCGGGUAUGAAGUUCACAUGCUUAAAGAGACCGUUCACCCAAAAAUACACUGUCAUCAUUUACUCACUCUCAUGUUGUUCCAAACCUGUAUAGCUUUCAUUGCAUAUUUUUGCAUACAAUUAAUUGAAUGGUGACUGAGGCUAUCUGUCUAACAUAAUUGUGUGUGUGUAUUUGUUCUGUGGCAGGAAGAAAGACAAAUAACUUUGGAGUAAUAUAAAGACAUUAAUUUUGUGGGGUGAACUGUCCCUUUAACUCUUCAACUCUUCUUUUAGGUUGGGGGAACUUUCAGUGCGCAUACAAACACUGAAACAAUUGCUGUGAUCCAUUUUCUAACCCAGAUCAAAUCUUGUUUAGCACAAAUCUUCUGUUUGUUGAUGUAAAUAAAACUAUUUAAAUGUAGAUUUCCCCCAUCCUAAAUCUUUAAGCAAUCUUAAGGCCAAAGUAUACUUCUGUUUUCCACAUGCUGUGAUCAUGAACAGUUGAGUCCUCCCAGACAUGCAUCAAAUUGAUUUUUGUAGGUUUCCUAAUAGAGCACUGAAUUGACAAUUUAAUCGCUUUGGAGUCAUAUGUAGACUAUUGGCUGUACAAACUCUUUGUGCAUCGUCUGUGCAUGCGCCUGCCAUUUAUUGUGCUAAAAGAGGAUCAGUAAGCAGUUGCAGUGUGUCUGUACAAGCUUUCGGUCAAAAGACUGUACUUUAAAACGCUAGAGAGCUUGACUGUCUGUGAUGUCCUUUUCAACAUGAUCAAAUUACUUCCAUAUAUCACUAAUGUUGAAUCAAGAUGAUUCUAAACUGUGAAAUGCUUUUCAACAUCCUAAUCAAAUUCACCAUGAAUAAAUGAAUGAACUAAAACUUAUGUUAACUCAUGGUGUGGUGAGAAGGUAUUUCCUGUAGGAUGUUUUGUGAAACAGACCGGCUCAGGGUCAAUUUCAAGAAACCUCUUAAUAAAACCCAGACUGUGAAUUUGGCAACUGCAGGUCGAAAGUUCUUUAUCUGAAAUCAGUCUGUGCUUGCUGAAAUUUGAAGCACUGCCUCCAGUGGCUGAAGUUAGAAGUGUUGUUGAAUGUAUCGGCACGUAUGCACUUCAGUUUCCAGGUGAAAUAUCCACAGAGGGGUGCCAAAAGGGAGUUGGUUUUAGUUGUAAAUAAUGUCAGGGAUGCAAACUCCUCACCUUUCACCAAAAUUUGCCAUAGAUUUGAAGAUGUUCACAUGAACGACUUAUUAAAUUCGUUGGAUCAAAAUGCUUGGCCCUACUUGUCUUUAACUACUACGUACUAACAUUAAAAUACAAUAUAUUUAUUGUGUAACUACAUUUCUAUUAAUCUGUAAAAUUCUCACAAGAUUCACAUUUGCUGGUACUGAGGUUGAGUUACGGGUAGGUUUAGGAGUAGGGUUAGUGUUUGGAUUCGGGUUAGGGUUAAUGAUGAGGGUUGUGGUACAGGUAGGUUUAGGAGUAGGGUUAGUGUUUGGAUUGGGGUUAGGGUUAAUGGUGAGGGUUGAGGUACAGGUAGGUUUAGGAGUAGGGUUAGUGUUUGGAUUCGGGUUAGGGUUAAUGGUGAGGGUUGAGGUACGGGUAGGUUUAGGGUUAGGUAGAAUCAUUGAUUUAUGUAAAUUCAAUUACUUCCUGGUUUCCAUGGGAUUAGAACACAUUUCUUUGAGGCUGCUGACGCAACGCAUUUUUAGUCACGCCACAGGAAAAGGUAAACGCACUUUAACUGAUGCACUAAUGUCUGAUGAUAGAUGACUCUUGUCAUGAAUUUGACGGAAUGGCAUCGAUGUUAAGAGUACUGAAACAUGCAACAUGUCAAUUAUGUUGGAAAACCCUUAGAUACAGUUGUACGGCUUUUAUUGAGCCUGUCCUGGUUGGGAAAUGCCCCUUAUUGUUCCAGAGACCUACACUUCCUUUUAUCUCUCAGGGUUUUCUUAACUAAAGGGGCUUCUUGCAGCCAGCUGCAGAUCUAUCUAUAACUCUUAAGGCAACCUUCGAGUUUUCUCACAUGCCACACUGAUGUAACGAAUUGGAGAACCUCUAGGCGAUAUUUCAAGAAGGUUAGUUCUCUGAAGAACUUAUGAAAAGUAACCCAUAACUUCCUGCAAGAACACUUAAGUCUGCCAGUGCUUCCUUCAGUAAUAUUCUACAGGAAACAUGAAAUGUAUGUUGAAGUUUCCUUGAUUCUAUAAUUAGACGUUUGAGGCACCAUGAACAGAAAAGUUUCGCUUUUGUGGCAAUCUGAGGAACUCAAUGAAAUGAAUGUUUUGAGAGUAUUUUUUUCACUUUUUUUUUCACAAUGUAUGUCCAGCUGUUGACAUGCUCUGCUUUGCUUAUAGACAUACAUGCACUACAGCAGACCAGACCUCAAGACCUUGAAGAAUCCAGAAUUUCCACAUUUUUACACCCUGAUGCAAUGUAGUAGUGCAUGUAUCUCUAGAUGCUUUAGAUGCUUCUCUUUAACUUCAUGUCAAGUCUGAUUGGUUGAGAUGAUCUUUACAUGGCGAAAAGCUCAUUUCCUGGAGAAUAACAGGAAGAGUGAGCGAGACAAAUCUAGGAAACGUGGUCAAUAUAGUUGAUUGUGAUUUGCAGCCAUGUUUUUCUACUAUCUUUCUCUCUCAGGCUCGCAGGGGUCGUGAUGGCGACGCUGGUGAACAAGCUAACGGAGGUCAGGUGGUUCUUAAAGAUGCUGAGAAAAUCCUGGAGUCAUCCGAGAGCUGAAAGAUGUGCACACAGAAGCAGAUCUUCAUUGCCACUGAGCUCAUCAUGCUGACGCUUUUUUUAAUGGAAAAGUUUGUUCCGGGAUUCCCAUCUACUGAAGUCUUGUGAUUGAUCAAGUGGAGCUUCAUACAGUGUUAUGAUUGGCUGAAUGAACUGUCAGUGUAGCAACUGUCCAGUGUAAAGCUGCCUCACAUGUUUGUAGAUAAUAGUGCACAAAACAUGUGUUUUAGAUGAAGACUGCAUUUGAGUUGUAACUGAAUGCAUUGAGUGUAAAUAUAGUUUUAUUUAAUUGAAAUUUUACUGGAAGAGUUUAUGUUGAUCAUGUUUAUGUUGAUCAUGUCUGUGUUAGAAACAUUGAAACCCUAAAUUUUUCACAUGCACUGACUUCUAAUUAAACAGAUUACUAGAAACAGUCAUUGUGUUAGUACUUGUCUGUUAAGGGGUGCAGCAAUCACACUGCAUGAGAUUUAAGUGUUGCCCUAUUUUUUUAUUAAAGCGAUAGUUCACCUAAAAUGAAAAUUCUGUCAAAACCCCAAACUACUUGAAGUGUAAUGAGUUAGGUUUAAUGUGUGAUCUGUUUUUACACCCUGAUAUGACUGACGUAUUAACAUGUUCUUCCUGAACUUUUAUUUGACGCUGUAUGAAGACAAUAAUUAUAUUUCAUCAACCGUUGCUUCGAGUUUGUUGUUUGCAUAGUCUUUUAUCAUUUUACUCCAAGUGAGCCAUUUUUACAAACCUCUAACCAUAAGGUUUUCUUCAGAACAUGUUAAAAUCAAGAUAUGUUUAUGUAUGUGAGUGGAAAUGUUUUUAUAUGACUCCUCAGACUCUUAUUGUGUUUUAGAUAAAACUAAUAAACCCACUUGAGGA